rnacentral:rRNA from 1 species
CUCCCUGAUGUUAGCGGCGGACGGGUGAGUAACACGUGGGUAACCUGCCUGUAAGACUGGGAUAACUCCGGGAAACCGGGGCUAAUACCGGAUGGUUGUUUGAACCGCAUGGUUCAAACAUAAAAGGUGGCUUCGGCUACCACUUACAGAUGGACCCGCGGCGCAUUAGCUAGUUGGUGAGGUAACGGCUCACCAAGGCGACGAUGCGUAGCCGACCUGAGAGGGUGAUCGGCCACACUGGGACUGAGACACGGCCCAGACUCCUACGGGAGGCAGCAGUAGGGAAUCUUCCGCAAUGGACGAAAGUCUGACGGAGCAACGCCGCGUGAGUGAUGAAGGUUUUCGGAUCGUAAAGCUCUGUUGUUAGGGAAGAACAAGUACCGUUCGAAUAGGGCGGUACCUUGACGGUACCUAACCAGAAAGCCACGGCUAACUACGUGCCAGCAGCCGCGGUAAUACGUAGGUGGCAAGCGUUGUCCGGAAUUAUUGGGCGUAAAGGGCUCGCAGGCGGUUUCUUAAGUCUGAUGUGAAAGCCCCCGGCUCAACCGGGGAGGGUCAUUGGAAACUGGGGAACUUGAGUGCAGAAGAGGAGAGUGGAAUUCCACGU